GGGUGAGUAGCUCAGUCGUUAGAGCUUAGGUCUUGUAACCAUAAGGCUCUGGGGUCGAAUCCCGCUGAAUGCA
rnacentral:tRNA from 1 species